UACGUAGGUCGCAAGCGUUGUCCGGAUUUACUGGGCGUAAAGAGCGCGCAGGCGGCUGGUCAAGUCCGAUGUGAAAUCUCCCGGCUCAACUGGGAAACUGCAUCGGAAACUGAUCGGCUUGAAGAUGGGAGAGGGUAGUGGAAUUCCCGGUGUAGUGGUGAAAUGCGUAGAUAUCGGGAGGAACACCAGUGGCGAAGGCGACUACCUGGCCCACUCUUGACGCUGAGGCGCGAAAGCUAGGGGAGCGAACGGG
rnacentral:rRNA from 1 species